UAGUACGUCAUCAACAGGUGCGCGCAACACUUCCCGAUGCGGCAUUUUUAUGUCAAAACACCUCGAUUCGAUCGCAACAGAAACACCAGAGAUAUUCUGUUUAUCAGAAUUAAAUUAUGAAGCAAAACACUUAGGGUUCAGCAGUAUGAUAUCCGUAGACAGAUGAACAUAAACUGCAUAUAGUAAUUCAUUCUCGGGAAUAAAAUGAGAAUCAGAAUUGAAGAAAGAACAAUACACGCUUGUUGUGGAUGUUUGUGAAAAAGUCAGAAAUGAAGACCACAAAAGUAGUCGUUGUUUGAGGUUCACUCACUGGCAAUAUGUGCAGACACCGUUUAAAACAACUCACUGUUACGUGUGACCACUACCGUCAACAUUUAGCCAUGAACAGAUUUUGCGUGACUAUGGUGUCCUUCAAACAAUUGUGAUUUUUUAUUGAAACAUUUUUUGUUUUGUCUGUCUGUGUUGAAGUCACAGAGUCUUGUCAGUGCAUCUCCUCUCUUCUAAAUAACAUUUGACAGAUUUUGAUGAAAGGCAACAGCAGUAUUAAACUUUGUAUGAAAUGUCGUUGACACUAAUGCUCAUAACGGGUAAAACACAACAAUGUAAAUACUAAAUAUUCUUGUUAUCUCUAUGCUUCGGUCAAUAAACGUUCACAGAUUAUACUA